GACGAACGCUGGCGGCGUGCCUAACACAUGCAAGUCGAACGGGGUAAUUUCUUCGGAGAUUACUUAGUGGCGAACGGGUGAGUAACGCGUGAGAAACCUGCCUUUCAGUGGGGGACAACAGUUGGAAACGACUGCUAAUACCGCAUAAUGUCAUUUAGGGGCAUCCCUGAAUGACCAAAGAUUUAUUGCUGAAAGAUGGUCUCGCGUCUGAUUAGCUAGUUGGUGAGGUAACGGCUCACCAAGGCGACGAUCAGUAGCCGGUCUGAGAGGAUGAACGGCCACAUUGGGACUGAGAUACGGCCCAGACUCCUACGGGAGGCAGCAGUGGGGAAUAUUGGGCAAUGGGGGAAACCCUGACCCAGCAACGCCGCGUGAAGGAAGAAGGCCUUCGGGUUGUAAACUUCUUUUACCAGGGACGAACAAAUGACGGUACCUGGAGAAAAAGCAACGGCUAACUACGUGCCAGCCGCCGCCGUAACAC
rnacentral:rRNA from 1 species